UGACUUCAGCAGUAAAUACACUAAAAUUGGAAUGAUACAGAGAAGUGAACAUGGUCUCUGCACAAGGAUGACAUGCAGAUUUGUGAAGCGUUCUAUAUAUUU